rnacentral:rRNA from 1 species
CAAUAGCGUAUAUUAAAGUUGUUGCAGUUAAAAAGCUCGUAGUUGAAUUUCAGACCUGGCCGGGCGGUCCGCCUCACGGUGUGUACUGUCUGGCUGGGCCUUACCUCUUGGUGAGCCGGCAUGCCCUUUACUGGGUGUGUCGGGGAACCAGGACUUUUACCUUGAGAAAAUUAGAGUGUUCAAAGCAGGCCUAUGCCUGGAUACGUUAGCAUGGAAUAAUAGAAUAGGACGUGCGGUUCUAUUUUGUUGGUUUCUAGAGUCGCCGUAAUGAUUAAUAGGGAUAGUUGGGGGCAUUCGUAUUCAGUUGCUAGAGGUGAAAUUCUUGGAUUUACUGAAGACGAACUUCUGCGAAANCANNNGCCAAGGAUGUUUUCAUNAA